UAGUUCUGGCAUCGAUGAAGAACGCAGCGAAAUGCGAUAAGUAAUGUGAAUUGCAGAAUUCAGCGAAUCAUCGAAUCUUUGAACGCACAUUGCGCCCGUUAGUAUUCUGACGGGCAUGCCUGUUCGAGCGUCAUUUCAACCCUCAGGCCCAGCCUGGCGAUGGGGGCUCGUUGUACGACCCCUAAAAUACAGUGGCAGGCUCUGCUAUAUUCCGAGUGCAGUAAUCUCUCGCUUAGGACUCUAGUGGAUACUAGCCUAACCAUACUUCCAAGGUUGACCUCGGAUCAGGUAGGAAUACCCGCUGA
rnacentral:misc_RNA from 1 species